rnacentral:lncRNA from 1 species
UGAUCUAGAGGUGGAUAAAAGAUCCACAUAACUUAAUUACAUUGUUGAAGGAGAGGAACAAGAGUGAUAGCAGAGAAGGUUUCACAGAUAUAAUCUUAAGCUAAAUUUUAUAGAAUGAUUUGGAGUUCUUAUAGCCUCCAUUCCCACUUCCACAAACAAACAAAAAAACGAAAGCGCAAUUUUAUCAGCACCUGAGGCAGGAGAAGAGCUGAGGAUGUGGAAAGUCAAGGGGAACUCUUACUACAAAUUCUUAGUUCUGUGUUUGGAGGGAAGGGUGAAUGCAGGGAAGUGAGAGUUGUUGAUGUUGGAAAGACCUAAAGGGCCUGGCUUAGGAAGAGUUUUGUGUAAAUUACUGAAGGAAUGGAAUUUGAUCAGGAUUAGUGGCAAUUUAUUAAAAAUCUUGAAGAAUAAUACGAUGAAAACUAACAUCCUUAUUUUUCUGUUUUAGAGAAAGCACCUGAUUAUUGUGUGAACUAUGGUUUGGAGGGCCACAAAUCUAGAGAGACAAACAUCUCCACUUCAAAAUGGAAAAAUGGAACGAUG